GACGAACGCUGGCGGCGUGCUUAACACAUGCAAGUCGAACGAGAAUCUGCGGAUCAAGGAUUCGUCCAAGUGAAGCGGAGGACAGUGGCGGACGGGUGAGUAACGCGUGAGGAACCUGGCUCUGUGUGUGGAAUAACGUUUGGAAACGAACGCUAAUACCGCAUGACGCAUCGUGAUCGCAUGGUCGUGAUGCCAAAGAUUUAUGCACAGAGAUGGGCUCGCGUCUGAUUAGGUAGUUGGUGAGGUAACGGCCCACCAAGCCGACGAUCAGUAGCCGGACUGAGAGGUUGAACGGCCACAUUGGAACUGAGAAACGGUCCAGACUCCUACGGGAGGCAGCAGUGGGGAAUAUUGGGCAAUGGGCGAAAGCCUGACCCAGCGACGCCGCGUGAGGGAAGACGGUCUUCGGAUUGUAAACCUCUUUUAUUAGGGUACGAAUUAUGACGGUACCUAAUGAAUAAGCCACGGCUAACUACGUG
rnacentral:rRNA from 1 species